rnacentral:rRNA from 1 species
UAGGGAAUCUUCCGCAAUGGGCGAAAGCCUGACGGAGCAACGCCGCGUGAGUGAUGAAGGUCUUCGGAUCGUAAAACUCUGUUAUUAGGGAAGAACAAAUGUGUAAGUAACUAUGCACGUCUUGACGGUACCUAAUCAGAAAGCCACGGCUAACUACGUGCCAGCAGCCGCGGUAAUACGUAGGUGGCAAGCGUUAUCCGGAAUUAUUGGGCGUAAAGCGCGCGUAGGCGGUUUUUUAAGUCUGAUGUGAAAGCCCACGGCUCAACCGUGGAGGGUCAUUGGAAACUGGAAAACUUGAGUGCAGAAGAGGAAAGGGGAAUUCCAAGUGUAGCGGUGAAAUGCGCAGAGAUAUGGAGGAACUCCAGUGGCGAAGGCGACUUUCUGGUCUGUAACUGACGCUGAUGUGCGAAAGCGUGGGGAUCAAACAGG